GAUGAACGCUGGCGGCGUGCUUAACACAUGCAAGUCGAACGGAAAGGCUCCUGCUUGCAGGGGCACUCGAGUGGCGAACGGGUGAGUAACACGUGGGUGAUCUGCCCUGCACUUCGGGAUAAGCCUGGGAAACUGGGUCUAAUACCGGAUAGGACCAUCGUUUAGUGUCGGUGGUGGAAAGUUUUUUCGGUGUGGGAUGAGCUCGCGGCCUAUCAGCUUGUUGGUGGGGUACUGGCCUACCAAGGCGUCGACGGGUAGCCGGCCUGAGAGGGUGUACGGCCACAUUGGGACUGAGAUACGGCCCAGACUCCUACGGGAGGCAGCAGUGGGGAAUAUUGCACAAUGGGCGCAAGCCUGAUGCAGCGACGCCGCGUGGGGGAUGACGGCCUUCGGGUUGUAAACUCCUUUCGCCAGGGACGAAGCGAAAGUGACGGUACCUGGAUAAGAAGCACCGGCUAACUACGUG
rnacentral:rRNA from 1 species